GACGAACGCUGGCGGCGGGCUUAACACAUGCAAGUCGAGCGGAUGGGGGGAGCUUGCUCCUGGUUUCCGAGUGGCGAAGGGGUGUGAAACACGGGAGUAACCUGCCUAGGACUUGGGGAUAUCCGGAGGAAACUGCGACUACUACCGGAUAGGAGCGGGUGAUGCAGGGUGGGGUUUGGACAGCACGGGAGGUUGGGGAUGGACGUGGGGUUUAUUAGCUUGUGGGGGGGGGAUUGGCCUAGCCAGGGUUAGGCGGGUGGCCGGCCUGGGAGGGUGACCGGCCACCUUGGGACUGAGAUACGGCCCAGACUCCUACGGGAGGCAGCAGUGGGGAAUAUUGCACAGUGGGCGCAAGCGUGAUGCAGCGGCGCCGCGUGCGUGAUGACGGCCUUCGGGUUGUAAACCGCUUUCAGCUGUGACGAAGCGUUAGUGACGGUACUGGCAGAAGAAGCACCGGCUAACUACGUG
rnacentral:rRNA from 1 species